UUAUUAUUAAAUAUAAAAAUCUAUUUCUAUAUACACGUUAUCUAUAUGUCAAUACAUUUACUACGCACACACGUAAUUAAUACACAUAUAUUGGGUAAAUAAAAUUUACCAAUGCAAUUGCGCGAACCAGCGCUAAAUGGAAUAAAUGAAAAAGGGUGCCUGGUAACUGAAUUUUCCGGCAAAAAUCUAUCUGGGUCAAAAACAUUCGGACGUGGCCGAAAAUUAGCAUCACGGAUGUAUUGUUACGUCCAAAGCAUUGCCGAUUAUAGGAUAGAAUUUAGGUCCAGGAAUCAAAUUACAAAGACGUCCUUGAUUUCGAUUGUGGUAGUAAAAGUGUGCGAUAAUCAAUAAUAACACACCAGAU